rnacentral:tRNA from 1 species
ACCUGGGUGGCUCAGUCGGUUAGGCGUAUGAUUUCAGCUCAGGUCAUGAUCUCAAGGUUUGUGGGUUUGAGCCCCACCUUGGGUU